GCACAGCUGAGGAGUCCCACAAUAGGACGAAACGCUUCCGUCCAGUGC
rnacentral:hammerhead_ribozyme from 1 species